rnacentral:rRNA from 1 species
GACGUAGGGCGCGAGCGUUGUCCGGAUUUAUUGGGCGUAAAGAGCUCGUAGGCGGUUUGUCGCGUCUGCUGUGAAAACCUAAGGCUCAACCUUGGGCUUGCAGUGGGUACGGGCAGACUAGAGUGCGGUAGGGGUGACUGGAAUUCCUGGUGUAGCGGUGGAAUGCGCAGAUAUCAGGAGGAACACCGAUGGCGAAGGCAGGUCACUGGGCCGCAACUGGCGCUGAGGAGCGAAAGCAUGGGGAGCGAACAGG